UUGAUGACACCAGGACUUGCGGAGGCGUGAAGAAACUUCUCGCGGCUGA
rnacentral:snoRNA from 1 species